rnacentral:rRNA from 1 species
GACGAACGCUGGCGGCGUGCUUAACACAUGCAAGUCGAACGGUGAAGCGCCUUCCUUUUUGGUGGGUGUGGAUGAGUGGCGAACGGGUGAGUAACACGUGAGUAACCUGCCCCCUUCUUCUGGAUAACCGCAUGAAAGUGUGGCUAAUACGGGAUAUUCUGGGUCUGUCGCAUGAUGGGUCUGGGAAAGAUAUUGUUUCGGUUGGGGAUGGGCUCGCGGCCUAUCAGCUUGUUGGUGGGGUGAUGGCCUACCAAGGCGGUGACGGGUAGCCGGCCUGAGAGGGUGGGCGGCCACAGUGGGGCUGAGACACCGCGCAGCCUCCUGGGGGAGGCAGCAGGGGGGAAUAUGGCACGAUGGGAGCAAGGCUGAUGCAGCGACGCCGCGGGAGGGAUGGAGGCCGGCGGGUUGUGAACCUCUUUCGCCAGUGAAGCAGGCCUGCCUCGUUUGUGGGUGGGUUGACGGUAGCUGGAUAAGAAGCGCCGGCUAACUACGUG